rnacentral:rRNA from 1 species
AUUGAACGCUGGCGGCAUGCUUUACACAUGCAAGUCGAACGGUAACAGGUCUUCGGAUGCUGACGAGUGGCGAACGGGUGAGUAAUGUAUCGGAACGUGCCCAGUAGUGGGGGAUAACUACUCGAAAGAGUGGCUAAUACCGCAUGAGAACUGAGGUUGAAAGUGGGGGACCGCAAGGCCUCACGCUACUGGAGCGGCCGAUAUCAGAUUAGGGUAGUUGGUGGGGUAAAGGCCUACCAAGCCUGCGAUCUGUAGCUGGUCUGAGAGGACGACCAGCCACACUGGGACUGAGACACGGCCCAGACUCCUACGGGAGGCAGCAGUGGGGAAUUUUGGACAAUGGGGGCAACCCUGAUCCAGCCAUGCCGCGUGAGUGAAGAAGGCCUCGGUU